UACGGAGGGGACUAGCGUUUGUUCGGAAUCACUGGGCGUAAAGGGUGCGUAGGCGGGUCUUUUAAGUCAGGGGUGAAAUCCUGGAGCUCAACUCCAGAACUGCCUUUGAUACUGAGGAUCUUGAGUCCGGGAGAGGUGAGUGGAACUGCGAGUGUAGAGGUGAAAUUCGUAGAUAUUCGCAAGAACACCAGUGGCGAAGGCGGCUCACUGGCCCGGUACUGACGCUGAGGCACGAAAGCGUGGGGAGCAAACAGGG
rnacentral:rRNA from 1 species